CACGUAGGGUGCGAGCGUUGUCCGAAAUUAUUGGGCGUAAAGAGCUCGUAGGCGGUGUGUCGCGUCGGCCGUGAAAACCUGCAGCUUAACUGUGGGCUUGCGGUCGAUACGGGCAUCACUGGAGUUCGGCAGGGGAGACUGGAAUUCCUGGUGUAGCGGUGAAAUGCGCAGAUAUCAGGAGGAACACCGGUGGCGAAGGCGGGUCUCUGGGCCGAUACUGACGC
rnacentral:rRNA from 1 species